ACUAUAAGCUUGAGUCUGUGUUGCAUUGCUCCAUUUGAUCCUGCUUGAAUGGCAAUUUCAUCAGCCUCCCUCCCUCCCCUCCUGUUUGCGUCCUCAGGGCCCCCACAGCCACACUUUGAAGUGUCACAUGUGAUGGGAACCUUCUUCGGAUCAUCUUCACUGAUGCAGGUGUAUGUCAGCGGGUCCAUGGUGAUUCCUCUCUUUGAAUCCAAGGCCUGGUGAAUGCCAUUCACUAGCAACGAAGAGGCAUUUUGUGUGUGUUUCCUUUUCCAGGAAAUUCAAUGAAUACAUCAACUGGAAAACCUGUUUUCCCACAUGGCGAGAAAAUACAACAGUGUGAAAGAUGCUACAACGUGUUUGGAAGGAGCUGGACUACUGACGUAACGCGUGUCGUGUCACAGGAUGGGCGCAUACAGUAUUGAACAUUUGUCAAGCUAUAAAAUCUAUCCACUUGACUGUGUUCUUGGAAUUGUGAUCAAUAAAUCUUUCAUCUUUCAA